rnacentral:misc_RNA from 1 species
GUUAAAACUAUGUCAUCUUCAAAUAUGCAUCAAGAGAAGGUAAAAAUGUUAUAGCCAUAAUUUCCAUGAUUUAUCUGUCAAGUUCAAAACGCAAAACUCAAGUCUAUGAAACCUUAAUUUCGAUCUAGUUUUGUCAGCUGGAUCAUGUAUAGCUAGUACCAAGCCCAAAAAAAGGAGGAGAGUUCCAGUAGGUGACAAUUAGCACAAACUUUUGUCCCAUUUUAUGAUAUUGAUCCAAGUAGGUUCUAACCAAAAGUAAA